GUAUCUGGAUUUUUAAGUGGCCAUUGUGCAAAAGUAAAACUUCAACUUCAAAACACCUCGCAGACGUGGAUUCUACACUGGGGUUGCAUUUCCACUGGAAACAAGAAAUGGUUUGUUCCCUCAUUUUAUCCUUCUGGGACUACUGUUCAUAAGAAAUGUGCAUUGCGUACUCCAUUUGUAAAGGACGGAGAUGCAUAUGUUGUUGUCAUAGAGCUAAGAGACCCUAAGAUACAUGCUAUUGAAUUUGUUCUGAAAGAUACCAG